rnacentral:rRNA from 1 species
CACGUAGGGUGCGAGCGUUGUCCGGAAUUAUUGGGCGUAAAGAGCUCGUAGGCGGUGUGUCGCGUCGGCCGUGAAAACCUGCAGCUUAACUGUGGCUUGCGGUCGAUACGGGCAUCACUGGAGUUCGGCAGGGGAGACUGGAAUUCCUGGUGGUAGCGGUGAAAUGCGCAGAUAUCAGGAGGAACACCGGUGGCGAAGGCGGGUCUCUGGGCCGAUACUGACGCUGAGGAGCGAAAGCGUGGGGAGCGAACAGG